rnacentral:tRNA from 1 species
UCUACCAAAGGAUAAUAGUUUCCAC